UACCACUAUGUUACGCACAACGGCCACUUCCGCUCAACCUCAAUAGGAAGCCACGUUUAUGUCUUAUCGAUUGGAUUUCUUCUCACCGUCCAUUGACUUCCGGCACGGUUACCCCCGCCUGUGAAGAUCUGACUCUCUCAUUAACACCAUCUCCCCUCUCCUCACAGGAUCUCUCAUUCAAUACAUCUUCUCAUUGUGUGAUUCUACAGCUAUAAAUAUCAUCCAGCGGUACAGUAGGAAGUGCUAUGUUGCUCCUCAAGUAUCAAGACGAAGUUACGGAAAAGAGACAGAUAUUUGAAGUGCAUAGAUUAUUCUAUUCAUCUUGCUUUGUGGUGCGCCACCGUUUUGGGCUGGUAAUACAAAGCUAAUUGUUUAAUUACGUAAUUUAUAUGUCUUACGAUGUUGUUGUUACAAUUAGGAAUGUUAAUUGUUGACUGAAGCUUGAAGCUUGAAGAGAAAAAAAAAGAGUUUUCGUCCUUAAACACCAAAAGCCAUGGAUUUUCAUCUGAACCUACUAUAGAAUUAUUAAUGCUCAGCGCAAGUAUAUGGAUGUGAGGACUUGACAGAAACAUAAGUAGAAAAGCAAAGUGAAACUUAAGCAACUCACGAGCCACGUUAGGCAUUUUGUUAUGC